GCCAGCAGCCAUAUCACCCUGCGACUCACAACUGGCAGCCCACUGAAGCUAAGCAGGCGUGAACCUGGUCAGUACCUGGAUGGGAGACCUCCUGGGAAAAAAUAAGGUUGCUGCUGGAA
rnacentral:rRNA from 1 species